CUCGCAAAUCACAUAGGACUUCUUUUCUAUCAAGAUCGAUAAAUUCCAUCUAGAUGCAUCCUACUCCAAACAGUGAACCUGAACCUACUAAAGCCAAUAUACACAGCAAAGACCUGAAUGGCUAGAGACCAAAGAAACAUGCAGUCAAACUCAGUAGCCUCACUGCGAAUAGCCAAUAUCACCGUAAGUCAAAGGACCACUCAUACCACUGCAGCAUCGAGAAGACCACUAACGAGUGAGUAGACAACCAUAUGAUUCUCGUGUUGGUCACAGUCAGUGCAAGUUAUUCUCUAAAAACCACCUGCUCUUUCACCCC
rnacentral:lncRNA from 1 species